UACGUAGGCAGCAAGCGUUGUUCGGAGUUACUGGGCGUAAAGAGUAUGUAGGCGGUUGCGUAAGUUCGGUGUGAAAUCUCCCGGCUUAACUGGGAGGGUGCGCCGAAAACUGCGUGGCUUGAGUGCGGGAGAGGAGAGCGGAAUUCCUGGUGUAGCGGUGAAAUGCGCAGAUAUCAGGAGGAACACCAAUGGCGAAGGCAGCACUCUGGGACGUGACUGACGCUGAGACGCGAAAGCGUGGGGAGCAAACAGG
rnacentral:rRNA from 1 species